UACGUAGGCAGCGAGCGUUUGUUCGGAAUUACUGGGCGUAAAGAGUGUGUAGGCGGUGCUCUAAGUCUGUCGUGAAAUCUCCCGGCUUAACUGGGAGGUGCGGCGGAAACUGGUGUGCUCGAGGGUGGGAGAGGUAAGCGGAAUUCCUGGUGUAGCGGUGAAAUGCGUAGAUAUCAGGAGGAACACCUGCGGUGUAGACAGCUUACUGGACCACUUCUGACGCUGAGACACGAAAGCGUGGGUAGCAAACAGG
rnacentral:rRNA from 1 species